GGAUAACCUACCUAUAAGACUGGGAUAACUUCGGGAAACCGGAGCUAAUACCGGAUAACAUGUUGAACCGCAUGGUUCAACAGUGAAAGACGGUCUUGCUGUCACUUAUAGAUGGAUCCGCGCCGCAUUAGCUAGUUGGUAAGGUAACGGCUUACCAAGGCAACGAUGCGUAGCCGACCUGAGAGGGUGAUCGGCCACACUGGAACUGAGACACGGUCCAGACUCCUACGGGAGGCAGCAGUAGGGAAUCUUCCGCAAUGGGCGAAAGCCUGACGGAGCAACGCCGCGUGAGUGAAGAAGGUCUUCGGAUCGUAAAACUCUGUUAUUAGGGAAGAACAAAUGUGUAAGUAACUAUGCACGUCUUGACGGUACCUAAUCAGAAAGCCACGGCUAACUACGUGCCAGCAGCCGCGGUAAUACGUAGGUGGCAAGCGUUAUCCGGAAUUAUUGGGCGUAAAGCGCGCGUAGGCGGUUUUUUAAGUCUGAUGUGAAAGCCCACGGGCUCAACCGUGGAGGGUCAUUGGAAACUGGAAAACUUGAGUGCAGAAGAGGAAAGUGGAAUUCCAUGUGUAGCGGUGAUAUGCGCAGAGAUAUGGAGGAACACCAGUGGCGAAGGCGACUUUCUGGUCUGUAACUGACGCUGAUGUGCGAAAGCGAGGGGAUCAAACAGGAUUAGAUACCCUGGUAGUCCACGCCGUAAACGAUGAGUGCUAAGUGUUAGGGGGUUUCCGCCCCUUAGUGCUGCAGCUAACGCAUUAAGCACUCCGCCUGGGGAGUACGACCGCAAGGUUGAAACUCAAAGGAAUUGACGGGGACCCGCACAAGCGGUGGAGCAUGUGGUUUAAUUCGAAGCAACGCGAAGAACCUUACCAAAUCUUGACAUCCUCUGACCCCUCUAGAGAUAGAGUUUUCCCCUUCGGGGGACAGAGUGACAGGUGGUGCAUGGUUGUCGUCAGCUCGUGUCGUGAGAUGUUGGGUUAAGUCCCGCAACGAGCGCAACCCUUAAGCUUAGUUGCCAUCAUUAAGUUGGGCACUCUAAGUUGACUGCCGGUGACAAACCGGAGGAAGGUGGGGAUGACGUCAAAUCAUCAUGCCCCUUAUGAUUUGGGCUACACACGUGCUACAAUGGACAAUACAAAGGGUAGCGAAACCGCGAGGUCAAGCAAAUCCCAUAAAGUUGUUCUCAGUUCGGAUUGUAGUCUGCAACUCGACUACAUGAAGCUGGAAUCGCUAGUAAUCGUGGAUCAGCAUGCUACGGUGAAUACGUUCCCGGGUCU
rnacentral:rRNA from 1 species